rnacentral:rRNA from 1 species
UACGGAGGAUCCAAGCGUUAUCCGGAUUCAUUGGGUUUAAAGGGUGCGUAGGCGGAAUGAUAAGUCAGUGGUGAAAGCCUGCAGCUUAACUACAGAACUGCCAUUGAUACUGUCAAUCUUGAGUACAUUUGAUGUGGGCGGAAUGUGUCAUGUAGCGGUGAAAUGCUUAGAUAUGACACAGAACACCGAUUGCGAAGGCAGCUCACAAAACUGUAACUGACGCUGAGGCACGAAAGCGUGGGUAUCAAACAGG